UACGUAGGGUGCAAGCGUUAAUCGGAAUUACUGGGCGUAAAGCGUGCGCAGGCGGUUGUGUAAGACAGAUGUGAAAUCCCCGGGCUCAACCUGGGAACUGCAUUUGUGACUGCAUCGCUGGAGUGCGGCAGAGGGGGAUGGAAUUCCGCGUGUAGCAGUGAAAUGCGUAGAUAUGCGGAGGAACACCGAUGGCGAAGGCAAGCCCUCC
rnacentral:rRNA from 1 species